rnacentral:tRNA from 1 species
UCGUCGAUCUUGUCCGCGGUCGCGGAGACGUCGAACUUCGUGGGUUCGGUGUGACGGCUGGUGACGGUGUCGACGUCGAUCGACGAGC